AGAUGAUGACCUCACACCAACAAGAACAUGCAGACACCCAAAAUUCUGUAUGAUUGAUUCAUUCUAAGUUGAUGCAAGAUUUUAAUCGAAAACUGCCUUAUUUUGCAGAAGAUUAACAAAGAGGAUGCGGUGCAGAAGUGAGUCCCUCAGCAGGAGAAGCUUCUCUCACACCAACCCAUUUAUGGCUGGGGGAAAAUACCCCGUUAGUUCAAGGAUAGCAAAUAAAUAGAUGGUGUGCAGCCUGGUACAGAUGGUAGAACAAGGACUACAUCCUUCACAAAAGGGAUGUGCCAACAAAAACAGCCUGCCCUCAACAGCAAGCUGACCCAACGCCCUGCUCGCUGACUCCUUUAUGCCGGCACCGGCACCGAGUGCCACGCUGCGUUUGCAAGCUAUUGUUCAGCAGGCAGAUUUUCUGCUGGGGGUUAACAGGUGAGAGCAGUGAUCCAAGAGCAAAAUAGAGAGGAUGCUUUUAGUUAAGCUGCCAAUGCUUAGCAAACACUUCUGAAAAUAUCACAGCUCAAUAUUGCAUCAUUCAUGAAUGGAAGAGCUGCAGGGUGGGGGGUGCUUGUUUCAAAAUGAUUUACCAAAGUAAGGAGAGAGUGCAGAAAUGCAGAAAUAAAAUAAUGUGGCUCA